CAAAUUAGAGUUUAAUGUAUUGUGCAUUAACAGAAAAUGCAUACAGUGGGAUAGAUUGAUUGCCAUCCUUUGCUGACCUACAGUACUUGCAUUAGAACAGAAAAAAAAAAAAAGCACCAAACCAUAACUUCUAUAUUUCAACUUAUCGAUUUGAAGUAGAGAUUUUAUGGUUUCUUUAACAAUGAAAAAUCAUGAAUUUCUAAGCCAGAUUUGAAUGUCAGUACUGGGCUAUGUAGCUUGCAUCAGUUUAACCUAUGUAAAGGUGAAUGAACUCUGAAGGUGAGUACACAAAUUAUUAUCAACGCAAAGAGAUCACUCCUAUACCAUAAGCACAGAAUUCAAGCGCUCUAUUUGACAACAUGCGCGUCAUUCUAUAGUUUGUGUAACCCUUAGAAAACCCAAGUAUGUUGCUGCUAAGUAAACAAGUGAUGCAGCAUUGAAUCCUCAUAUAAAAUAUUAGCUUCAUUAAUGUACUCAAUGUACAAUAUAUGCAUUAUACAUACACUACAUUUUUAUUUGCAAGUUGCGCAUAUCUGUAGAGAUUUGGAGAACACUGGUUUACUAAAUCUAUAAAGUACAUUUUUUUUUUUUUUUUUUAAAGCAAAGUCAUGUUAAAUAACAACCCACCCCACACAAAAAAUAAAUAAAAAUCAUGGCAUGGGUUUAAUGUGCUGGGUAAAUAACUUUUUGUAAUUCCCAG